rnacentral:tRNA from 1 species
GCCGGAUAUAGUUUUCGAAGUGAUGUACCGCCUGACUUGUAAUCAGGGGGUCAUCAGUUCGAAUCCGAUAGGCGGCACCA